rnacentral:rRNA from 1 species
GACAGAGGGUGCAAACGUUGUUCGGAAUUACUGGGCGUAAAGCGCGUGUAGGCGGUCGGGCAAGUCGGAUGUGAAAGCCCCGGGCUCAACCCGGGAAGUGCAUUCGAUACUGCUUGGCUAGAGUACUGGAGAGGAUGGUGGAACUCUCGGUGUAGAGGUGAAAUUCGUAGAUAUCGAGAAGAACACCGGCGGCGAAGGCGGCCAUCUGGACAGAUACUGACGCUGAGACGCGAAAGCGUGGGGAGCAAACAGGAUUAGAAACCCCGGUAGUCC